AGUUCCCAGUGUCAGGUAGAGAAGAGUGUUAGGAAGAAGAAAUUAUACAUAGUGGGUACCUCAUUCAUCCACCCACCCCUGCAUGCCAUGCCUGGGUCUGUGUGUGUGUGUGUGUGUGUGUGUGUGUGUGUGUGUGUGUGUGUGUGUAGCCUGGGACUGCAGCCAUCCCUCUGCAGGCUCCAGCUCACUUACCUUCCUUUUCUCCACAGACCCAGGCACCCCGCUGCCUCCAGACCCCACAGCUCCGAGCCCAGGCACAGUCACCCCUGUGCCACCCCCACAGUGAGGAACCAGCCAGCUAUCUCCCCUCACUCCCCAUGGAGAUCACAGUCCAGGAACCACCCUCCCCCACAACUGGGACCCUCCCUCAGCCUGGAGAGUUCAUCACUACGUAAGGAAAGCUCCUGCCCCUUCACCACCCCACAUGCCCAGCAGAGGUGUGCAGUUUUAUAUCCAAUAUUAUCCACGGACUUCUAAGAUGUUUCUAAUGCCUGGGAGAGAGGAUAGGAGGGAAGGAUGUUUAUUCAAGGUUCUAUUACUGGUUCUGAGGGUGUACCUUCAGAAUUACUGCAGUUUUGAAGUGAUAACAUGAAAAUGAAACCCUUUAAAAGGGAGGUUUUAAAAAGACACAUCUGAGACCACAAAAAAGAACUUUUUAUUUUUAUUUUUGAGGGGAAAGGGAACGUUUUAA
rnacentral:lncRNA from 1 species